GACGAACGCUGGCGGCGUGCUUAACACAUGCAAGUCGAACGGAAAGGCCCUGCUUUUGUGGGGUGCUCGAGUGGCGAACGGGUGAGUAACACGUGAGUAACCUGCCCUUGACUUUGGGAUAACUUCAGGAAACUGGGGCUAAUACCGGAUAGGAGCUCCUGCUGCAUGGUGGGGGUUGGAAAGUUUCGGCGGUUGGGGAUGGACUCGCGGCUUAUCAGCUUGUUGGUGGGGUAGUGGCUUACCAAGGCUUUGACGGGUAGCCGGCCUGAGAGGGUGACCGGCCACAUUGGGACUGAGAUACGGCCCAGACUCCUACGGGAGGCAGCAGUGGGGAAUAUUGCACAAUGGGCGGAAGCCUGAUGCAGCAACGCCGCGUGCGGGAUGACGGCCUUCGGGUUGUAAACCGCUUUCGCCUGUGACGAAGCGUGAGGGACGGUAAUGGGUAAAGAAGCACCGGCUGACUACGU
rnacentral:rRNA from 1 species